UACAACACGUAAAUUUACAUGUUACAAAUGGCGCCCAGCGUGAUUUUGGUAAUGGUAAUCGUUUGAGCUAGUGUACCCAUACAGACCCCCUCGGUGGUGAUACUUGCGCAUGUGUGAAUUGUGAAACCGGAACAUCCUAGAUAUUGACAUCAACAGAAAAACAGUGUGGUUUUUGUGAAUGAAGAUUAAAUUUUCAAAUAUUUUAACCUGAUACAGUGAUUAUAAUGUAACGAAGCUUAUUGAUAUGAAUCCCCAUAAAAGACGGCAAUUAUAGACUACUACAACGACAAUCAAAGUACUGAAGUACUGAACAUCGGAUGACCGCAGGUUCUUGUGUAUGGUCAAAAGCACAUGUCACAGAAACAGAUCACAUCUCUAUACCUGAAACUGAGGUUAAUUUACAGAGAUUUUUUUUUUCUGAUACAAGUUCGUGCUUGGAUGAUGAAUAAAUGACAGGAAAUUCAACCUCACCGUAAUAACUAUUAUAUUGUAGUGAUACAAAUCAGUAUACCUUAGACUAUUAUACUAAUAUAAUAAUAGUUCCAGAGAAUACACUGGUUUGUUGUUAUAUAUUAUAUUAAUAUUACGGUUGCAUGUAUAUAUAAUUUUCAUCUAUUUGUAUAUCAUUCUAUUCUACUAUUAUUAUAGUGCAAGUGCAUGGUGGACACUCUUCUGUAAAAAAAAUCAAAGCCUUAAAGGCUGUAAAAGCAAUUGCUGCCAUGUUAAUGUUUUGUGGACUUUUAUUUUUCAUCCAUAUAUAUAUAAGAAUUAAACCUGACAGGACAGGAGUGUUGACUAGUGAGAAGCAAGACGGUUUUAACUUUAUAUCAAUAAAAGACUUUAGCAGGAAAUCAUUUUAAA